CCUACGGGCGGCAGCAGUGAGGAAUAUUGGUCAAUGGGCUUACGCCUGAACCAGCCAAGUCGCGUGAGGGAAGACUGCUCUAUGGGUUGUAAACCUCUUUUGUCAGGGAGCAACGCCGGCUACGUGUAGCCGGACUGAGAGUACCUGAAGAAAAAGCAUCGGCUAACUCCGUGCCAGCAGCCGCGGUAAUACGGAGGAUGCGAGCGUUAUCCGGAUGUAUUGGGUUUAAAGGGUGCGUAGGCGGAAUGCCAAGUCAGCGGUAAAAUCGCGGGGCUCAACCUCGCUCCGCCGUUGAAACUGGCGUUCUUGAGUGGGCGAGAAGUAUGCGGAAUGCGUGGUGUAGCGGGGAAAUGCAUAGAUAUCACGCAGAACUCCGAUUGCGAAGGCAGCAUACCGGCGCCCAACUGACGCUGAAGCACGAAAGCGUGGGUAUCGAACAGGAUUAGAUACCCCAGUAGUC
rnacentral:rRNA from 1 species